rnacentral:rRNA from 1 species
CCCCUAGAUGUUCUGGGCCGCACGCGCGCUACACUGAUGCAUUCAACGAGCCUAUCCUUGACCGACAGGUCCGGGUAAUCUUUGAAUCUGCAUCGUGACGGGGAUAGAUUAUUGCAAUUAUUAAUCUUCAACGAGGAAUGCUUAGUAGGCGCAAGUCAUCAGCUUGCGUCGAUUACGUCCCUGCCCUUUGUACACACCGCCCGUCGCUCCUACCGAUUGGGUGUGCUGGUGAAAUGUUCGGAUCGGCCGUUUGUCGCGGUUUCCGCGUCAUGUGGCUGAGAAGUUCAUUAAACCCUCCCACCUAGAGGAAGGAGUAGUCGUAACA